rnacentral:rRNA from 1 species
GAUGAACGCUAGCGGCAGGCCUAAUACAUGCAAGUCGAGGGGUAGAAGAGAGCUCGCUUUCUUUGAGACCGGCACACGGGUGCGUAACGCGUAUGCAACCUACCUUGAUCAGGGGGAUAGCCCGAAGAAAUUCGGAUUAACACCGCAUAAGAACACAGAGUGGCAUCACUUAGUGUUUAAAUAUUUAUAGGAUCAAGAUGGGCAUGCGUGACAUUAGCUAGUUGGUGAGGUAACGGCUCACCAAGGCGACGAUGUCUAGGGGAUCUGAGAGGUGGACCCCCCACACUGGUACUGAGACAGGGACCAGACUCCUACGGGAGGCAGCAGUAAGGAAUAUUGGUCAAUGGAGGCAACUCUGAACCAGUCAUGCCGCGUGCAGGAAGACGGCCCUAUGGGUUGUAAACUGCUUUUAUACGGGAAUAAACCCCGCUACGUGUAGCGGGUUGAAUGUACUGUAAGAAUAAGGAUCGGCUAACUCCGUGCCAGCAGCCGCCGUAAAAC